rnacentral:pre_miRNA from 1 species
CUUGUACUCCUUCCGUCCGAAAAUACUUGUCAUUGAAAUGGAUGUAUCUGGAUGUAUUUUAGUUCUAGACACAUCCAUUUUGAUGACAAGUAAUUCCGGACGGAGGGAGUACUUG